UAUUUACUUAGUUUACUUAUUUUCUUUUUAUUUCUUUUUAUUGAAUAUUUUUCCCUCUCUUUUUUUAUAUCAUUCCUUAAGUCCCAUAGGUUUGAUCCUUUAGAAUUUGACCCAUUUUCUCAUUGAGCGAAGGGUACGAAAUAAAUCAGAUUGAUUUUUCGAUCAAAAAUACUAUGUGAAAUCUUCGGUUUUUCCUCUUCCUAUAUCCCAUAGGUACAAUCAAUAGAGAACCUUUUCUUCUGUAUGAAUCGAUAUUAUUCCAUUCCAAUUCCUUCCCGAUACCUCCCAAGGAAAAUCUCGAAUUGGAUCCCAAAUUGACGGGUUAGUGUGAGCUUAUCCAUGCGGUUAUGCACUCUUUGAAUAGGAAUCCUUUUUCUGAAAGAUCCCGGCUUUCGUGCUUUGGUGGGUCUCCGAGAUCCUUUCGAUGACCUAUGUUGUGUUGAAGGGAUAUCUAUAUAAUCCGAUCGAUUGCGUAAAGCCCGCGGUAGCAACGGAACCGGGGAAAGUAUACAGAAAAGACAGUUCUUUUCUAUUAUAUUAGUAUUUUCUAUUAGAUUAGAU
rnacentral:lncRNA from 1 species